rnacentral:misc_RNA from 1 species
GAUUGUCUUAUAAGUUUGUCAAUUGCUUUAAGUAGUAAUAAUGUUUUAACAAACAAAGGGACAUUUGAAAUCCAUCCAAUAUUGUAACACAAGUCUAAAAUAAUAGUAAAGGAAAUCCAGUUUACAAGCAGCUCUGCCGACUGCACAAAACAUGAAACAGCAUCUCCUCUCUGCAGCUAUCAGUUUGCAUAUUCCCUUUCAACAAAAGGCUAGCUGUCAAUGUGCUCUUCUGAGAAGGUGAGACAGUGAGAGUAUCCAAACUCUUACAAAACGUAAAUGUAACCAACUACCUCCAUGUAGAACCACCAAGUCUGAUAACCUCCUCAGUACUAGUAUCCCUAUUUGGAGCCCUGUCAUCACCUAUGUUCUCCUUUUUAUUGCCGAAGUCGCCAUAUAGAUCUUUAAGCUUGGCCAGAUUGCUAGAUGCAGCCUUCUUCUCCUUGCUCUCAUCCCUAGGUGGAGUUCGCUGCUGGUCAAGACUUGUACCUUGAUCAUGCAAGCUUCGGCUGUGGCUUCUACUCCUACUACGGCUCCUGCUCCUGUCAUAGUCUCUUCUGCUUCUCUCAAUUGACCUUCGAUCAUAGUCAUACCUCCUGUCUCUAUCCCUUCCCCGGUCUCUGUCAUAAUCAUGCCUCCUGUCUCUGUCCCUUUCACGAUCUCUUUCGUUAUCAUACCUUCUAUCUCUAUCCCGAUCCCUGCCCCUAUCCCUUUCUCUUUCCUGGUCCCUAUACCUAUCCCUAUCCCUAUCACGUUCUCUGUCCCUAGUUCUUUCCCUGUCCCUGUCCCUGUCCCUG